UUAAUAUUUUAAAUCUUUUCUUUCUAGAGUGCUGAACAUGACAUGAAAAUGUGAAGUCUUCAAGAGAUGGUGUCAUAUGGAUACUGAAAUCACAAAUCUUAUUUAUUUAAUUUAAUCAGGGAAAGGAGACACCUACAGUGUCAUCAUUUUUUUGUUUCUGAAGCAGAGAAUUCCACAAGUGCCUGUAGGUCUAUGUGACGUUAUGCCAGCCUUUGUGAAGCAGAGACUUACAUGUGACAGUAGGCCUACAUGGCCUUAUGCCUGCCUUUCUGUGAAGCUGAGAAUUACACAUCAGUACCAGAAGGCCUAUAUGAUGUCAUGCCCAUUCUCUUCUGUGAAGCCAAGUCUCAUAAGUACCAGCCAGCCUAUGUGAAUCUGAGAAUUACAUCAGUCAGUAGGCCUAUAUGAUGUUAUGCUAGCCUGUUUGUGGAAGCCGAGGAUGAACUCUGUGACAGUAGGUCUAUAUGAUGUCCUGCCAGCCAUUUGUAUGAAGCUGAGAAUUACACAUCAGUAACAGUAGGCCUAUUUGAUACCAUGCCCAUUCUCUUCUGUGAAGCUGGGAAUCACACCAGUUCCAGAAGACCUAUAUGACGUCAUGCCAGCCUACAUGUGAAGCCGAGAAUGACAUCGGUGCCAGUAGGCGUAUCACAUGUUAUACUAGCCACUUUGAUGACACUUUCAAGGAACAACAGGUGGUGGUUUUAGGACGAAGAAGAAAUAUUAUUUGGUAACAGGUCAUCCAGGGCAAUGCAAAUUUUGAGAAAAUUUCUGGACACC